rnacentral:rRNA from 1 species
UCUCGUGAUGAUGGCGGAAAGGUCACACCUGUUCCCAUCCCGAACACAGAAGUUAAGCUUUCCAGCGCCGAUGGUACUUGGACCGCAGGGUUCCGGGAGAGUA